UUGAGUUCAGACAGUUCCAAGAGAGACUAACUGAAUCCAAACGAAUUUCCCUCUGCAUUUUGCAUGAUUUCUCUUUCUACUACGAAGCUGAAAUUCAAACCCCUUACAGCUUUCGCACUCACUUUCGCUAGGGUUUAUCGCAUGGCCGCUGCACCUCCAUCCUCCCCUCCGUCAAAUGCCGCCGCCACUAUUCCUCCUCUACCUCCUUCUUCGGCGGUUCGCGACGGACCUCCUUCCGCUUCUUCUGCAAUCGAUUUCCUCUCCAUAUGUCACCGCCUCAAGACAACAAAAAGGACGGGAUGGGUUCGAAGAAAUGUUGAGAAUCCAGAAUCUAUUGCUGAUCAUAUGCAUCGAAUGGGUUUGAUGGCUCUCAUUGCAUCAGAUGCCCCCGGUGUAGACAGAAACAAGUGCGUGAAAAUGGCCAUUGUUCAUGACAUUGCAGAAGCUAUUGUUGGGGAUAUAUGCCCUGAGGAUGGAAUUUCAAAGGAAGAAAAGAGUCGGCGGGAACAAGAUGCACUGGACUGUAUGUGUAAUGUUCUUGGAGGAGGAUCUAGAGGGAGUCACACCCACCUAUUGGGUCAAUGCUUGCUUGUGGUUGUUAUUAUGGUCUUUGAUUCACUACAAUCGGUACCCGUUGGCUGAUUUUGAUUACUAACCUCCCCAAGUGGAGAUGAUACUUCAAGCUUUGGAAUAUGAAAAUGAGCAGGGGAAGGAUUUGGAUGAAUUUUUCCAGUCAACUGCUGGGAAGUUCCAAACUGAAACAGGCAAAGCUUGGGCGUCCGAGAUCGUGUCAAGAAGAAGGAAGAAUAACUAAAUGCUCGGAUCAAUCUGAUUGAGUGUGUAGUAAUAGCAGCAUCGCUUUUACCAAGAAAAAGAAAAGGAUUCAAUGGUAGCUGUGCAAUGAGACCAGCGUAUGCUAUUUCCCAUCCAUGUCCCGGAUAGCGGGCAAGCUAAGCCAUUAUCCUGCCCAUGGCGCACAGUACUCAUAACCUACCAAACGCUGUAUGUGAACUUGUGAAGCCCCCAAUGUUUAGAGUUAUCAACUUUAUUGAAACAGAGAAAUUAUCAUUACACGUCCAGCUGAAUUAAUGGUGAAUGAUUAUCUCCAAGGAUUGAAGUUAAGAGCAAUGAUAUUUUAAACGGGAGUGGAUCAUCUCCAGUGAAAAAAAUUAGAUGGUAUCCAGUGUUUAAUCUAACCAUUCAUUACUUUUUCUCUCUUAUUUAUUUCUGGUCCCAUUUAUAGAAUCAAAAGUAGAAAAUCACAGUGUAUCUUGUCAAGUGUUAAAAACACUGGAGAGAAUCCAUUUCCCAUUUUAAACCCAGUGUGGUUGUUUAU